UUAUUUCCCCAUAUUUUACUAGAAUAGGAGGGGUGAGAAAUGUAGAGAGGGGGUGGGUGCGGGUGAAAGUCAGCAUUCCAGCUAGACCAGAGCGGAGCAGAGGUCGUACGGGUAGAGAGCAUGGGUGGAGGUGUGGGUGUUGCGGUGGCGGUAGUGCAGGGGCGUAGCAGAGUAAAGAGCAAAGAGUUCCUGAUUCCACAGCCCUGAGCUCACCACCUUUGCGCCUGCCGCCAGCCACUCCUUUUCUCCUUCACACCAUCCUCUUCUUUCUCCUCCCACUACCCCCUCCACCAUGUCUCUCCAUCUGAGGUGUUAACUCCUUGUUGGGCAGUUCCAGAGCCAUUGGCAUGGAUGUCGGUUUUCAUGGAAGCUUGGGGAAGAGGCGGGCGUGCUGCUAUGGAUCCUUACUGGAAGUGAAGGCGUGUGUGCCGUUCAAGGAGAGACAAACAACAAUGAACAAUGUGGGAUCUGUCGCAUUCUACCCAUGGGAAAAAGACUUCUAACGGCAUCUUCUAUUAGGGAUGGAGAGGGAAGAAGAGAAGAAAAGAGGAACACCCCCACUGUGCAAACAAAAUCAAAGUGAGAACCAUAACUCAGAACUUAACAGCACUGUUGUAUCAGAUUUUUUUAGUAUUUGCGAAACCCAUUUUAAAUCCAGUAACUUUUAAAAAGGAGAAAAGUCAGGCACUUUGCAUUACAGUAAACGAGUGUAGGCUGUAAUAUCCGCACUUGAUUGUGGGAGUAUUUAAUAAUCUUAAUAGAUUCAAUAUGAAUUGGCAAAGUUGCUGUCAUUUUUAAUGUGUGCAACAUAAAAUAUUUCUGUUUGAUCACUGUGUUGUACUCAAGGGUCUGUUCUCCCUCAGGCCCCUUGACUUGUCCUUCAAAACACGUCUAAAUCAGACCACAUGUGAGAAGUCGUCAAGUGCAGCAGCACGAAAGUGAGAUUCAAGGUCAUAGACGGAUUUCUCACAUAUUCCACGAGCAGCCUCGCUUUCACCCCAUACAGAUAACACAUCUGAUUAGCUCGCUGCUCCGUCCACCCACGUAGGCAGCAUGCAGUGUAUAUGCUGUGCACACGCUGUAUGUUUCUAGCUGAUGCUUUGACUGCUACAUGUGAUACUGCCUCUGAUUCACAGAGGCCUUUGCUCCUCCUCCGUCUUUCUGCUUCUCAUAGACCUGUCACUGCUUGACUCUCACCGCUCGGCACAGUGGGAUUGACCCACUUCUCACUCUGGUGGGCCCUGAGUGAAGGCCCCCAGGAGAGGGAAAGCGCACAUAUGCAGACAAACACAUCACAUUAUACAUGACUGCGUACAUAUGAUCACAUACACUGAUGAAUAAAACAUGUCAUUAUUGGUACCUAAUAAUUCCAUCGAUGAAGCGGAGCAGCUGCAGAUCCCGUGGAAGCUGAAAAUGUUGACAGGGAUUUAAACCCAACACACAUGUAACCACAGACAUGCACUUCAGAUAAUUCAGGUUUAUUGGAUGUUAUUGUCAUAGUUUCAGCUAUCAUAUCAGUAAUAAUAAAAUUGUUUUUACUGUGGUGGAAUGCAACGUAAAGUAUAUUUAAGUACUGUAUAAUUUAAGGUACUUAAAGGUUUACAUAAGCAUUUCCACUUAGUACUUUUAACUCCACUAUAUUUAUUUGAUAACUUAAGCUACUAGUUACUUUGCAGCAGAAGUAGGACACAGCCAUGGUUUUGCAAGUCACAAGUCAGUCUCGAGUUCUUCUUUGAGUUCCAAGAACAAGUUAUAAUGCACUUUUCAACAAUUGUAACGUCAUUUUAACAACUGAACAAACGAAACAAAAUUAUCUUUGGUAUCAUGUUUUCUAAUUGGCACUCAGUAACGUAAUCUUUGUUUUUCAUGGUUCCCUCCUGCAACUUGGAUGAUGUCGGAUUGGCUCAAACAAAGUGGAUCUUAGGAAUUUAGUGUUAACUUGCUGGGAAUGACUAGCGUUAGCAUUAGUUGUUGAAAUGAAAUGAAAUGAUUUGAGGCACACUUUUUAAUUAACAUAGGUCUAAGUCACAAAUCCAAACCUCUGCUUUGAAGAUACAGCUCAGUAAUUCAAAAUAUAAUCUACUAAUAUAUAAUGGUGUAUUAUUAUACAUUACUGUAAGCUACCCAGCUGUAUGAAGCAGUUCCAUUUUAGCCAGCAGCAACAUUAAAUAGAUGCUUACACAUAAUGUAUCUUAACUUAUAAUUCAGUAAUAUAAAAAUAUAUGUUAUUAUAUUCUGCAUAAGUAAUGCUAAUACUUUUGUAGUUUUACUUCAGUAAUGAGUAAGAGUAUGUAUACACUGUGGUAUUUCUACUUUUAUUUAAGUAAAAGAUCUGAGUACUUCUUCCACCACUGGCUUCCCAAGUUAAUAGUAAAAUUACAAUGAGUGUUUGUUGUCUGUGAUUGUCUGUUGUCAGCAUCCAUCAUAGUUUACAUCACUCAGCUCUCUGAAGUGGGAGAUCACUGCUGAUAGUUGAACAAGACAUUAAAGGGACAGGACAACAAAGAAUCAGGCCAAAAUAGUCUUGCAAAGCUGGACCUCUGUCAUCAAUCUCACUGAGAACUGGAGAAAAUGCUGAUAAAAAAAAACUGAAGUAACGAGAUCUAAAGAAAAUCCUGAGCCAGUCAGUUAGAUACGUAGAAUCGGCCACCUCUGCGUAGCUAUAGCUGUAUUGGUUCAAAGUAUACUGAUAACCUACUGUGUCACCCUUUUCU
rnacentral:lncRNA from 15 species